rnacentral:rRNA from 1 species
ACGGCUCAGUAACACGUGGCUAACCUGCCCUUGGGACGGGACCAACCCCGGGAAACUGGGGCUAAUCCCCGAUAGGUGAAGAACUCUGGAAUGAGUCUUUGCCUAAAAGGCGUCAGAUCAUGCUUCUGGCGUCGCCCAAGGAUGGGGCCGCGACCGAUCAGGUUGUUGGUGAGGUAAUGGCCCACCAAGCCUAUAACCGGUGCGGGCCGUGAGAGCGGGAGCCCGGAGAUGGGCACUGAGACAAGGGCCCAGGUCCUACGGGGCGCAGCAGUCGCGAAACCUUUGCAAUACACGAAAGUGUGACAGGGUCAUCCCGAGUGCCGACCGCUGAGGUUGGCUUUUACCCAGUCUAGAAAGCUGGGGGAAUAAGGAGAGGGCAAGUCUGGUGUCAGCCGCCGCGGUAAUACCAGCUCUCCGAGUGGUGUGGACGUUUAUUGGGCCUAAAGCAUCCGUAGCUGGCUGAACAAGUCCCCUGUUAAACCCACCGAUUUAAUCGAUGGUCUGCGGGGGAUACUGCUCGGCUAGGGGACGAGAGAGGCAGACGGUAUUCCCGGGGUAGGGGUGAAAUCCUAUAAUCCCGAGAAGACCACCAGUGGCGAAGGCUGUCUGCUAGAACGCGCCCGACGGUGAGGGAUGAAAGCUGGGGGAGCGAACCGGAUUAGAUACCCGGGUAGUCCCAGCUGUAAACGAUGCAGGCUAGGUGUUUGGACGGCCACGUGCCGUUCUAGUGCCGCAGGGAAGCUGUUAAGCCUGCCGCCUGGGGAGUACGAUCGCAAGAUUGAAACUUAAAGGAAUUGGCGGGGGAGCAC